rnacentral:rRNA from 1 species
AAACUUUCAACAACGGAUCUCUAGGCUCUUGCAUCGAUGAAGAACGCAGUGAAAUGCGAUAAGUAAUGUGAAUUGCAGAAUCUCGUGAAUCAUCGAAUCUUUGAACGCACAUUGCGCCCUGUGGUAUUCCACAGGGCAUGCCUGUCUGAGCGUCAGC